UUAAGCGACUAAGCGUACACGGUGGAUGCCCUGGCAGUCAGAGGCGAUGAAGGACGUGCUAAUCUGCGAUAAGCGUCGGUAAGGUGAUAUGAACCGUUAUAACCGGCGAUUUCCGAAUGGGGAAACCCAGUGUGAUUCGUCACACUAUCAUUAACUGAAUCCAUAGGUUAAUGAGGCGAACCGGGGGAACUGAAACAUCUAAGUACCCCGAGGAAAAGAAAUCAACCGAGAUUCCCCCAGUAGCGGCGAGCGAACGGGGAGGAGCCCAGAGCCUGAAUCAGUGUGUGUGUUAGUGGAAGCGUCUGGAAAGGCGCGCGAUACAGGGUGACAGCCCCGUACACAAAAAUGCACAUGCUGUGAGCUCGAUGAGUAGGGCGGGACACGUGGUAUCCUGUCUGAAUAUGGGGGGACCAUCCUCCAAGGCUAAAUACUCCUGACUGACCGAUAGUGAACCAGUACCGUGAGGGAAAGGCGAAAAGAACCCCGGCGAGGGGAGUGAAAAAGAACCUGAAACCGUGUACGUACAAGCAGUGGGAGCACAGAGCAAUCUGUGUGACUGCGUACCUUUUGUAUAAUGGGUCAGCGACUUAUAUUCUGUAGCAAGGUUAACCGAAUAGGGGAGCCGAAGGGAAACCGAGUCUUAACUGGGCGUUAAGUUGCAGGGUAUAGACCCGAAACCCGGUGAUCUAGCCAUGGGCAGGUUGAAGGUUGGGUAACACUAACUGGAGGACCGAACCGACUAAUGUUGAAAAAUUAGCGGAUGACUUGUGGCUGGGGGUGAAAGGCCAAUCAAACCGGGAGAUAGCUGGUUCUCCCCGAAAGCUAUUUAGGUAGCGCCUCGUGAAUUCAUCUCCGGGGGUAGAGCACUGUUUCGGCAAGGGGGUCAUCCCGACUUACCAACCCGAUGCAAACUGCGAAUACCGGAGAAUGUUAUCACGGGAGACACACGGCGGGUGCUAACGUCCGUCGUGAAGAGGGAAACAACCCAGACCGCCAGCUAAGGUCCCAAAGUCAUGGUUAAGUGGGAAACGAUGUGGGAAGGCCCAGACAGCCAGGAUGUUGGCUUAGAAGCAGCCAUCAUUUAAAGAAAGCGUAAUAGCUCACUGGUCGAGUCGGCCUGCGCGGAAGAUGUAACGGGGCUAAACCAUGCACCGAAGCUGCGGCAGCGACGCUUAUGCGUUGUUGGGUAGGGGAGCGUUCUGUAAGCCUGCGAAGGUGUGCUGUGAGGCAUGCUGGAGGUAUCAGAAGUGCGAAUGCUGACAUAAGUAACGAUAAAGCGGGUGAAAAGCCCGCUCGCCGGAAGACCAAGGGUUCCUGUCCAACGUUAAUCGGGGCAGGGUGAGUCGACCCCUAAGGCGAGGCCGAAAGGCGUAGUCGAUGGGAAACAGGUUAAUAUUCCUGUACUUGGUGUUACUGCGAAGGGGGGACGGAGAAGGCUAUGUUGGCCGGGCGACGGUUGUCCCGGUUUAAGCGUGUAGGCUGGUUUUCCAGGCAAAUCCGGAAAAUCAAGGCUGAGGCGUGAUGACGAGGCACUACGGUGCUGAAGCAACAAAUGCCCUGCUUCCAGGAAAAGCCUCUAAGCAUCAGGUAACAUCAAAUCGUACCCCAAACCGACACAGGUGGUCAGGUAGAGAAUACCAAGGCGCUUGAGAGAACUCGGGUGAAGGAACUAGGCAAAAUGGUGCCGUAACUUCGGGAGAAGGCACGCUGAUAUGUAGGUGAAGUCCCUCGCGGAUGGAGCUGAAAUCAGUCGAAGAUACCAGCUGGCUGCAACUGUUUAUUAAAAACACAGCACUGUGCAAACACGAAAGUGGACGUAUACGGUGUGACGCCUGCCCGGUGCCGGAAGGUUAAUUGAUGGGGUUAGCGCAAGCGAAGCUCUUGAUCGAAGCCCCGGUAAACGGCGGCCGUAACUAUAACGGUCCUAAGGUAGCGAAAUUCCUUGUCGGGUAAGUUCCGACCUGCACGAAUGGCGUAAUGAUGGCCAGGCUGUCUCCACCCGAGACUCAGUGAAAUUGAACUCGCUGUGAAGAUGCAGUGUACCCGCGGCAAGACGGAAAGACCCCGUGAACCUUUACUAUAGCUUGACACUGAACAUUGAGCCUUGAUGUGUAGGAUAGGUGGGAGGCUUUGAAGUGUGGACGCCAGUCUGCAUGGAGCCGACCUUGAAAUACCACCCUUUAAUGUUUGAUGUUCUAACGUUGACCCGUAAUCCGGGUUGCGGACAGUGUCUGGUGGGUAGUUUGACUGGGGCGGUCUCCUCCUAAAGAGUAACGGAGGAGCACGAAGGUUGGCUAAUCCUGGUCGGACAUCAGGAGGUUAGUGCAAUGGCAUAAGCCAGCUUGACUGCGAGCGUGACGGCGCGAGCAGGUGCGAAAGCAGGUCAUAGUGAUCCGGUGGUUCUGAAUGGAAGGGCCAUCGCUCAACGGAUAAAAGGUACUCCGGGGAUAACAGGCUGAUACCGCCCAAGAGUUCAUAUCGACGGCGGUGUUUGGCACCUCGAUGUCGGCUCAUCACAUCCUGGGGCUGAAGUAGGUCCCAAGGGUAUGGCUGUUCGCCAUUUAAAGUGGUACGCGAGCUGGGUUUAGAACGUCGUGAGACAGUUCGGUCCCUAUCUGCCGUGGGCGCUGGAGAAUUGAGGGGGGCUGCUCCUAGUACGAGAGGACCGGAGUGGACGCAUCACUGGUGUUCGGGUUGUCAUGCCAAUGGCACUGCCCGGUAGCUAAAUGCGGAAGAGAUAAGUGCUGAAAGCAUCUAAGCACGAAACUUGCCCCGAGAUGAGUUCUCCCUGACUCCUUGAGAGUCCUGAAGGAACGUUGAAGACGACGACGUUGAUAGGCCGGGUGUGUAAGCGCAGCGAUGCGUUGAGCUAACCGGUACUAAUGAACCGUGAGGCUUAACCUU
rnacentral:rRNA from 3 species